GAGCUUGCUCCGCCGGAUCAGUGGCGAACGGGUGAGUAACACGUGAGCAACCUGCCCCGGACUCUGGGAUAAGCGCUGGAAACGGCGUCUAUUACCGGAUACGAGCUGCGAAGGCAUCUUCAGCAGCUGGAAAGAACUUCGGUCCGGGAUGGGCUCGCGGCCUAUCAGCUAGUUGGUGAGGUAACGGCUCACCAUGGCGUCGACGGGUAGCCGGCCUGAGAGGGUGACCGGCCACACUGGGACUGAGACACGGCCCAGACUCCUACGGGAGGCAGCAGUGGGGAAUAAUGCACAAUGGGCGCAAGCCUGUUGCAGCAACCCCGCGUGAGGGACGACGGCCUUCGGGUUGUAAACCUCUUUUAGCAGGGAAGAAGCCUUCGGGUGACGGUACCUGCAGAAAAAGCGCCGGCUAUCUACGUGCCAGCAGCCGCGGUAUUACGUAGGGCGCAAGCGUUAUGCGGAAUUAUUGGGCGUAAAGAGCUCGUAGGCGGUCUGUCGCGUCUGGUGUGAAAACCCGAGGCUCAACCUCGGGCCUGCAGUGGGUACGGGCAGACUAGAGUGCGGUACGGGAGAUUGGAAUACCUGGUGUAGCGGUGGAAUGCGCAGAUAUCACGAGGAACACCGAUGGCGAAGGCAGAUCUCUGGGGCGUAACUGACGCUGAGGAGCGAAAGGGUGGGGAGCAAACAGGCUUAGAUACCCUGGUAGUCCACCCCGUAAACGUUGGGAACUAGUUGUGGGGUCCAUUCCACGGAUUCCGUGACCCAGCUAACGCAUUAAGUUCCCCGCCUGGGGAGUACGGCCGCAAGGCUAAAACUCAAAGGAAUUGACGGGGACCCGCACAAGCGGCGGAGCAUGCGGAUUAAUUCGUUGCAACGCGAAGAACCUUACCAAGGCUUGACAUAUACGAGAACGCUCCAGAAAUGUAGAACUCUUUGGACACUCGUAAACAGGUGGUGCAUGGUUGUCGUCAGCUCGUGUCGUGAGAUGUUGGCUUAAGUCCCCCAACGAGCGCAACCCUCGUUCUAUGUUGCCAGCACGUAAUGGUGGGAACUCAUGGGAUACUGCCGGGGUCAACUCGGAGGAAGGUGGGGAUGACGUCAAAUCAUCAUGCCCCUUAUGUCUUGGGCUUCACGCAUGCUACAAUGGCCGGUACAAAGGGCUGCAAUACCGCAAGCUGGAGCGAAUCCCAAAAAGCCGGUCCCAGUUCGGAUUGAGGUCUGCAACUCGACCUCAUGAAGUCGGAGUCGCUAGUAAUCGCAGAUCAGCAACGCUGCGGUGAAUACGUUCCCGGGUCUUGUACACACCGCCCGUGAAGU
rnacentral:rRNA from 1 species